rnacentral:rRNA from 1 species
AAAGAAACCAACCGGGAUUGCCUCAGUAACGGCGAGUGAAGCGGCAAGAGCUCAAAUUUGAAAUCUGACCCCUUCGGGGUCCGAGUUGUAAUUUGCAGAGGAUGCUUCGGAUGCGGCCCCUGUCUAAGUGCCCUGGAACGGGCCGUCGGAGAGGGUGAGAAUCCCGUCUGGGAUAGGGUGUCCGUGUCCGUGUGAAGCUCCUUCGACGAGUCGAGUUGUUUGGGAAUGCAGCUCUAAAUGGGUGGUAAAUUUCAUCUAAAGCUAAAUACUGGCCGGAGACCGAUAGCGCACAAGUAGAGUGAUCGAAAGAUGAAAAGCACUUUGAAAAGAGAGUUAAACAGCACGUGAAAUUGUUGAAAGGGAAGCGCAUGCGACCAGACUCGCUCGCGGGGUUCAGCCGGCAUUCGUGCCGGUGUACUUCCCCGCGGGCGGGCCAGCGUCGGUUUGGGCGGCCGGUCAAAGGCCUCCGGAAUGUAUCACCUCUCGGGGUGUCUUAUAGCCGGGGGUGCAAUGCGGCCAGCCUGGACCGAGGAACGCGCUUCGGCACGGACGCUGGCAUAAUGGUCGUAAGCGAC